AUCGCUUCUCGGCCUUUUGGCUAAGAUCAAGUGUAGUAUCUCAACUGUCCCUAUAUUGUGGAAUGGAACCACAUGCUUUAAACAGUAUGCUUUUGUCUACUAAGCAAUGAUAUUAAGGAUGGGAUUUGAGUGUAUACUUCCACUACUGUUUGCCCUCCUUUACUGGCAAUUUUACAGUGCAAUCU